rnacentral:rRNA from 1 species
CAAUAAGCGGAGGAAAAGAAACCAACCGGGAUUCCCCCAGUAACGGCGAGCGAAAAGGGAUUAGCCCAGUGUGAAAAUCACCAGCCGUUUGGUGCUGGUGAAUUGUAGUCUGUAGUGGCAGCUCCUGGGUGGCGCGCGGCCGAAGCAUCUUGGAACAGAUCGCCCCAGAGGGUGAGAGUCCCGUAGGCCACGCAGAGCCCAGCACGGAGCGCUCACGGAGAGUCGGGUUGUUUGGGAAUGCAGCCCCAAUUGGGUGGUAAACCCCAUCUAAGGCUAAAUACCGGUGGGAGACCGAUAGCAAAAAAGUACCUCGAGGGAACGAUGAAAAGACCGCUGGCAAGCGAGUGAAAGAGUGCAUGAAAUUGUACAGUGGGAAGGGAUGGCCUGGCGUCAUGCGUCGGCGUAUACCCGGUUCGUGGAGCCGGUGAAUACGCCGUGCGCUUGCAGGUGCCGGCAUGCGUGGCCGCAGAUCUCACCAGUUUUUCUGGUGGUAUUCGGGCGCGUGUGCUGAGGAAGUGAUUGCUGCUUCUUAAACAUGCAGUGACAUAGCACCCGCUGAAGCUUGUCCAUCU